GACAACUGACAUUAUAAAGUGUUGGCGGUGGUGUUGGGGGUAUGCUUCGUCGCCGAAGGUCCUGUGAGAAGAAACAUCUUCGAAAGGCCAAAAACACAAUGCCGAAGCUACCAAUCAGGGAGCUUCGUAGCGUAUCUCCAGAUGCACCGACUUAAAGAUGAAAUGACCAAUCGGCCCAUGACAACUUGUGUUAUGAUUGUAACCAUUUGUAAAGGGCAUGAAUGUAAUUUCUCACAGGCUGCGUCCUGUGCCUAUAAAUAGAUGAACAGUACCCUCGUACUUUUCACGCUUUUUCACAUCUUACUUUUGCCCUUGCCUUCUGUCGCGCUCAAGGUACAACUGUAAUUUGAUAUUGUUUUCAUGUAUUCGUGAUUGUUUAAUAAUAAACAUUUAUAUUACGUUGUCAUAUAAUUGUUUAUGUUGUUUUUUUAUAAGCUUCAUUCUCUGUUUAUACAUGCCACGUUUAUGAAGGUAUGUCCUUCAUAACCUUCGUCCAAAGAUCGUUAUGUUCUAAGGGAAAGACGAAGGACAUUAACAUUUAACAUUUUAUGUUGCCUUGUUCUUAAUUCAUAAUUGGCCGAGGAACACUGUUGUGUUUGACAUUGUUGACAUGUAAUACUCCUACAAUGCUGAACAAGUUGUGUUUGACAUUGUUGACAUGUAAUACUCCUACAAUGCAAUAAUUGGCCGAGGAACACUCAAUGCUUUUGAAGCAAUACUUCGCCCAACAUAUCUAUGCAUGAAGAUACCUUCGGAACAAGGGUCCAUUGCUAUUAUUGGAAGUCAAGAAGCUACCAGAGAAAUUAUACAGACUCAAAAGCGAUCCACAAUAUAGAUGGAGCCGAGGCUUGUGAACAGUACACGUACAGAAGAGAGAAGGCUGCUUCGGCUAAUCAGCCGAAGCCCAUGCUUCUAUGUGAAGAAAUAGCAGAGCAGAAGAUAUUGCUGUGGUCUCAACUAUCUGAAGAGCAAGAGAAAACUUUGAUAAGAUUUUUAUUCAACAACAAAGAUGUUUUUGCUUGUUCGGCCAAUGAUCUCUGUGGUGUCAACAGAGACGUCAUUGAACAUUCACUCAAUGUCAAUCCAUCCUUCAGGCCAAGAAAGCAAAGACUUCGAAAAAUAUCUGAUGAUAAAGCCGAAGGUGCUCGGAAUGAAGUAAAAAAGCUUUUCAGUGCUGGUGUCAUCAGAGAGGUAAAAUAUCCAGAGUGGCUAGCCAAUACUGUUAUGGUGAAGAAGACCAAUGACAAAUGGAGAAUGUGUAUUGACUUCACAGAUCUUAACAAGGCCUGUCCAACGGACGAGUUUCCAUUACCAAGAAUAGACUCUCUUGUAGAUGCAACAGCUUAUUCAGAGCUUAUGAGUCUGCUGGAUUGCUACUCUAGAUAUCAUCAGAUAUGAUGAAGAACGAGGAUGAGCCGAAGACUAGCUUUAUAACUCCCAGUGGCACCUAUUGCUAUUUUCGGAUGCCUGAGGGGCUCAAGAAUGCUGGAGGAAGCUUCAGCAGAAUGACAGCCAAUGUCCUUCAUUCCCAGAUAGGCAGAAAUGUGCUAACAUACGUUGAUGAUAUCAUAGUAAAAAGCACGAAGCAAGAAAAUCACAUUACUGAUCUGCAGGAAACAUUUGCUAAUUUCAGGUAAGCUGGUCUGAAAUUAAAUCCAGAGAAAUGUCAAAUGUGUCUUUGGAGUGAAGAAGGGUAAGUUCCUUGGCUGUCUAGUUUCAACGAAGGGGAUUGAACCUAACCCAAGCAAGAUCGAAGCUAUUCUUCGGAUGGAGCCACCAAGCACAAAUAAAGGGGGCUCAACGGCUGACAUGAAGACUGACAUCAUUGAAUAGAUUCAUAUCUAGAUCAGCAGAAAGAAACUUGUCAUUCUUUGAAAUACUAAAGUCAGACGAAGUUUUUCAAUGGGGCCCAGCUCAGCAGAAAGCCUUCGAAGAGCUGAAGCAAUACUUGAUUGAUUUAACAACAUUAACUCCACCUGCACCAGUGGCUCCAUUACUAUUGUAUGUGGCAGCUUCGAACUCUGUAGUAAGUGCGGCGCUUGUACAGGAGAAGUUUGAAGGACAAAUUAAAAAGCAAGCCACAAUAUAUUUUUUCUCCGAAAUUCUAAGUUUAUCAAAGAAAAACUAUACAGAAUUGGAGAAGGUGUUGUAUGCUGUGUUAAUGGCCUACAGGAAGCUUCGACAUUAUUUUCAAGCAUACCAUAUAAUUGUUCCUUCGUCACAGCCUCUGAAGGAUAUUAUGAGAAACAGAGAAGCUAUCUUAAGGAUUGGAAAGUGGGCUGUGGAGCUUAACGAAUUCAGUAUUGACUAUGUGCACAGAUCCUCAAUUCAGUCUCAGGCGUUAGCAGACUUCAUUGCUGAUUGGACGCCAGGGGCUCAGGAAGAAGCAAAUAAAGACGCCGAAGCCUGGACAGUGUUCUGCGACGGUUUCUGGGAAACCUUCGGCGCAGGUGCGGCUGCCGUCCUAGUUGCACCUUCCAAAGUCAGAACAUGCUAUGCAGUAAGGUUUGACUUCAGCUGUACAAAUAAUAUUGCUGAAUACGAAGCUUUACUUUUGAGGUUUCGAAAGUUAAAGACAAUGGGAAUAAUAAGGGCAGUCCUUAAAACAGACUCUCAAGUUAUUUCUGGUCAUAUUGACAAGAGUUGCAAGGCAAGAGACCCGAAGUUUGAGAAAUAUCUGGACACAGUUCGAAGGCUUGAAGCUUCUUUCGAAGGUUUUUCUGUUAAGAAUAUUCCAAGAGGGGAAAAUUAACAUGCUGAUCUGCUAGCCAAGUCAGCGACACAUGGGCUUCCUUUACCUUCGGAAGUAUUUUUGAAACAAUAAGAGCACAUUCGGUUGAACUCCUCGAAAGAGCAGUGCUUACAAUAUCUCCUGUCCAUAGUGAAGAUUGAAGGACUGAGAUUAUAUCUUUCCUACAGGGUAACUGUCUCUCGGAUGAUGAAGUUUAUAACAAAAAAUUGAAAGCAAGAACAAGACAAUAUGCUAUGAUAGAAGGGGAAUUAUAUAAACAUGGAGUUUGUUCCCCACUUCUCAAAUGUUUAUUCAGAACCGAAGGUAUAGAACUGAUGAAGGAGAUAAAUGCAGGAUUGUGUGGAUCCCACAUUGGGUCCAGACCUCUUCUGGGAAAGGUUUUUCGACAAGGAUUCUAUUGGCCGAAGUCAGCUUCGGACGCAGCAGAUCUGGUUCAAAAAUGCGAAAAUUGCCAAAAAUAUGCAAGAGAUCAGAAGCAACCUUCGUCAUUGACUCAGCUAAUACAACCAACGUGUCCGUUGCAAAGGUGGGGUUUGGAUCUGCUAGGUCCACUUCCACCAGCGCAGGGCAACUUGAGAUAUGUCGUGGUGGCGGUAGAAUAUUUUUCUAAGUGGAUCGAAGCGAAGCCUUUGGCCAUAAUAACUUCGGCCACAGUUCAAAAAUUCUUCUGGCAGAAUAUAGUUUGUCGCUUCGGUGUGCCGAAGGCUAUAACUGUGGACAAUGGAACACAGUUUGAUGCUGAAACUUUCAAAGAUUUCUGCGAAUAGAUCGACACGAAAAUUCAUUUUGCUUCAGUUAGGCACCCGGAAUCAAACGGACUAGUUGAAAGGGCAAAUGAUAUUAUAAUGACGGGAAUAAUGAAGUUAAUCUUCAAUCAGCCCAGAGGAAAGUGGCCAGAUGAGUUGGUUAAAGUGGUGUGGAGCCACAAUACAACUAUACCAAGGUCAACAGGUUUUACACCAUUCAAGUUAUUGUUCGGUGACGAAGCUAUAACUCCUGAAGAAGCUAAAGCGGGGUCAAUAAGAACAGUAGCUUCGGCAGAAGACGAAGCUAAUUAUUCUGUGACAAAAGAUACUAUAGAAGGGACCAGACUUCAGGCUGUGGAAAACAUCAACAAGUAUAAAGUCGAAAUAAUAAAAUGGCGUGAUAGAAAAGUUCGGUUGAAAAACAUUAAGCCAGGACAUCUGGUGCUUCGGAGAGUGGCCAACCCUGACACAAUAGGCAAGCUUCAGUUGAAGUGGGAAGGACCCUUUCUGGUAGUAUCUUCGUCAAGACCCGGUUCUUACAGAUUAAAGGUCUCGGAGGCAAUGACAUUCCUAGAUCUUGGAAUGCGGAUGAGCUUCGACGGUAUUAUGUGUAAAUUGAUGUAAUCUUUUUCAUUUUUCUAUGGCACCCUUUUCCUUUCCAAAGUGAGAGAAAGGUUUUUAAUGGGGCCAUAGUUUGUAAUCUUUCCUUUAUUAUUCAGCUCUACGAGAGCAAAAUCCCUCAAAAUAUAUAAAUGUAAAAUCUAGGCAUGCACCAUCGAGUGCAGAGAGAAAAAAAACAGGGAGAAGCUCAAAAGUUGUCCCUAAGGGGAUGCAGAGCACGACGAAGCUAAAAAAGCCGUUCCUAAGGGAGCGCAGUGUAAGUUUUCUGUUCAAAAGUCGUUCAUAAGGGAAUGCAGAGCAAAUACCGCCGAUAUACAAGGCGAAGCGCGAAAAGUCAACGCGAAUACCGCCGAAAUAGAAGGCGAAGAAGUUUAAAAGACGUCUUAAGGCAAUGCAGAACUUACACCGAAAAAUAAGCGGUGCAGCCGAAAAAUAAACGGCAAAGAGAUUUCAGCCAUUCCUAAGGGAAUGAGGAGUUUUGAUGUGGUUUCGUAUGUGUGUCUUUGGGCAUUCAUUUGCACGAUACAUUACAUCAUACAUUGCAUUCAUAAACAUUCAUUUAGACAUAUGUAGGAUCACCAUCAUCAUAUCAUACAGGUACAGACAGUUGCUUCGGCUCUAAUGACAAGGCUUCGUCGAGAGGAAAAAGAAGGCGAAGAACUGGAGCGAAGGUUAUCAGUACUCUGUCGAAGAGUAUUGGUUUCCCGAAGGUUGAGGCCGAUAUCAGCCGCUACCGACGACAGCAUAUCGUCGGUAGUUUAUUCUAUUCUAAUUUAAAGGUAAAAACUUUUCUUCGGCUUUUCAUUGUUUUAACGACGAAGGUGUUUUCCGACGAAGGUUGUUUUUGCACAGAGUAUGCUUUUAAGUAAGGCUUUAAGGAUGCAACAGGACCUUGAAGAUAAAAAACAUGAGAUUAUAAUUGAAGGUUUAGAGAGCAAAAUAAAAGAUCAUGCAGCUGCUCUUGAAAAAGAAAGAUUUCGAACUUCAAACAAUAGAGGGUUUACUGGCAGAAGCUGAAGCCAAAAUUGCAAGAUUGAAUAGUGAAGUCAGAAAGCUUCGAACAAGAAAAGCAGAAAUUUGAUGCGAAGUUUGAGGCUGAAGUCGAAAAGAGUUCAAAUUUGCAGAAACCAUUGAAAGAGCUUCAAGAUAAAUGUCUAGACUUCGGCAACCGAUGCGUGCAGCGGCUAAAGCAGGUCUUCAACUCGGUUGGAGCCAGUUCUGAGAAAUUCGAUCCUUCGGUUGAAGACCUGCUAGGGACCUUCGAACACAUUGAGGGCGAAGUUGAUGCUAUUGACGAAGUUAUAGCUGGACACGGCGAUUUCUGUGCCCUGCUAGCUUCUCGGGGCACAGCUGUCGCCUUCAUGAAAUCUGGUUGCACGCAUGGGAAGAUUGUUAAUAGACCAAACUUCAGCUUAUCACCAGCAGAUUUAAUUGAUAUCCCCAGUCUGGCUCGAAGCAUAGGAAAUAGAUUCAUAACGCAAAUCUGCACGAAGGGUGGGCGAAGCUUAACUGGUGACGAAGCUCGAAGUCACCUCAAGCCGGUAAUAAAGUCAUACCUGAUGCUUACCUUCUACUUGAAACUUGAGUUUACCUUAUAACGCUUUAUUAUGUACAGGAUGACGAAGCCGACGAACAAUGAUUCGAAGCUUGACGGAUGGUGAUGAAGCUGAAGACACUGCUAUGGAAAAACUCUGGAGAAAUUCUUGAAUUAUCCUUGUAAAGAAUAUUGUAAUUUAAGAAUCAGAUACUACUCUGUAAAUUCGUCCAUACCUUGUAAUAUAUUUUUACCUUUCCUUUCAUGUGCGAAUUGCUUUGAUGUGUAUGAAACUUGCAUUUUUUUUGAGCCGAAGGCGAAAAACACCUUCCCUUCUUUUCGUACACAACGAAGCAUAAAUCUGCCUCUUUUUCCUCUCGACGAAGCCUUGUCAUUAGAGCCGAAGCAACUGUCUGUACUUAUAUGAUAUGAUGAUAGUGAUCCUACGUAUGUCUAAAUGAAUGUUUAUGAAUGCAAUGUAUGAUGUAAUGUUCCGUGCAAAUGAAUGCCCAAAGACACACAUACGAAGCCACAUCAAAACUCCUCAUUCCCUUAGGAAUGACUGAAAUAUAUUUGCCGUUUAUUUUUCGGCUGCACCGCUUAUUUUCGGUGUAAGUUCUGCAUUCCCUUAGGAACGUCUUUUGAACUUCUUCGCCUUCUAUUUCGUCGGUAUUCGCGUUGAUUUUUCGCGCUUCGCCUUGUAUUUCGGCGGUAUUUGGCUCUGCAUUCACUUAGGAACAACUUUUGAGCAGAAAACUUACACUGCGCUCCCUUAGGAACGCUUUUUUUAGCUUCGUCGUGCUCUGCAUCCCCUUAGGGACGACUUUCGAGCUUCUCCCUGUUUUUUUCUCUCUCUGCACUCGAUGGUGCAUGCCCAGAUUUUAUAUUUACAUAUUUUGGGGGAUUUUACUCUCGUAAAGCUGAAUAAUAAAGGAAAGAUCACAAACUAUGGCUCAAUUAAAAACCUUUCUCCCCCUUUGGAAAGGAAAAUGGUGCCAUAGAAAAAUGAAAAAGAUAACAUUUUUACACAUAAUACCGUCGAAGCUCAUCCGCAUUUCAAGAUUUAGGAAUGUCAUUGCCAUUCAUGUCCUUUAAUCUGUAAGAACCGGGUCUUGACGAAGAUACUACCAGAAAGGGUCCUUCCCACUUCAACUGAAGCUUGCCUAUUGUGUCAGGGUUGGCCACUCUCCGAAGCACCAGAUGUCCUGGCUUAAUGUUUUUCAACCAAACUUUUCUAUCACGCCAUUUUAUUGUUUCGGCUUGAUACUUGUUGAUGUUUUCCACAGCCUGAAGUCUUGUGGCUCCACACCAAUUUAACCAACUCAUCUGGCCAUUUUUCUCUGGGCUGAUUGAAGAUUAACUUCAUUAUUGCCGUCAUUAUAAUACCAUUUGCCCUUUCAACUAGUCCGUUUGAUUCCGGGUGCCUGACUGAUGCAAAAUGAAUUUUCGUGCCGAUCUGUUCGCAGAAAUCUUUGAAAGUUUUAGCAUCAAACUGUGUUCCAUUGUCCACAGUUAUAGCCUUCGGCACGCCGAAGCGACAAACUAUAUUCUGCCAGAAGAAUUUUUGGACUGUGGCCGAAGUUAUUGUGGCCAAAGGCUUCGCUUCGAUCCACUUAGAAAAAUAUUCUACCGCCACCACGACAUAUCUCAAGUUGCCCUGCGCUGGUGGAAGUGGACCUAGCAGAUCCAAACCCCAUCUUUGCAACGACCACGUUGGUUGUAUUAGCUGAGUCAAUGACGAAGGUUGCUUCUGAUCUCUUGCACAUUUUUGGCAAUUUUCGCAUUUUUAAACCAGAUCUGCUGCGUCCGAAGCUGCCUUCGGCCAAUAGAAUUAUUGUCGGAAAACCUUUCCCAGAAGAGGUCUGGACCCAAUGUGGGAUCCACACAAUCCUGCAUUUAUCUUCUUCAUCAGUUCUAUACCUUCGGUUCUGCAUAAGCACUUGAGAAGUGAGGGAACAAACUCCAUGUUUAUAUAAUUCCCCUUCUAUCAUAACAUGUGGUCUUGUUCUUGCUUACAUUCUUUUGUUAUAAACUUCAUCAUCCGAGAGACAGUUACCCUGCAGGAAAGAUAUAAUCUCAGUCCUCCAAUCUUCACUAUGGACAUAAGAUAUUGUAAGCAUUGCCCUUUCGAGGAGUUCAUCCGAAAGUGCUCUUAUUGUUUCAAAAAAUACUUCCGAAGGUAAAGGAAGCCCCUGUGCCGCUGACUUGGCUAGCAGAUCAGCAUGUUCAUUUUUCCCUCUUGGAAUAUUCUUAACAGAAAAACCUUCGAAAGAAGCUUCAAGCCUUCGAACUGUGGCUAGAUAUUUCUCAAGCUUCGGGUCUCUUGCCUUGCAACUCUUGUCAAUAUGAUCAGAAAUAACUUGAGAGUCUGUUUUAAGGACUGCCCUUAUUAUUCCCAUUGCCUUUAACUUUCGAAGCCCCAAAAGUAAAGCUUCGUAUUCAGCAAUAUUAUUUGUACAGUUGAAGUCAAGCUUUACUGCAUAACAUGUUCUGACUUGGGAAGGUGCAAAUAGGACGGCAGCCGCACCUGCGCCGAAGGUUCCCAGGAACCGUCGCAGAACACUGUCCAGGCUUCGGCGUCUUUAUUUUCUUCUUCUUCCUGAGCCCCUGGCGUCCAAUCAGCAAUGAAGUCUGCUAACGCCUGAGACUGAAUUGAGGAUCUGUGCACAUAGUUAAUACUGAAUUCGUUAAGCUCCGCAGCCCACUUUCCAAUCCUUCCAGUAGCUUCUCUGUUUCUCAUAAUAUCCUUUAGAGGCUGUGACGAAGGAACAAUUAUAUGGUAUGCUUGAAAAUAAUGUCGAAGGUUCCUGGAGGCUAUUAACACAGCAUACAACACCUUCUCCAAUUCUGUAUAGUUUUUCUUUGAUAAACUUAGAACUUCGGAGACAAAAUAUACUGUGGCUUGCUUUUUAAUUUGUCCUUUAAACUUCUCCUGUACAAGCGCCGCACUUGCUACAGAGUUCGAAGCUGCCACAUACAAUAGUAAUGGAGCCCCUGGUGCAGGUGGAGUUAAUGUUGUUAGAUCAAUCAAGUAUUGCUUCAGCUCUUCGAAGGCUUUCUGCUGAGCUGUGCCCCAUUGAAAAACUUCGGCUGACUUUAGUAUUUCAAAGAAUGGCAAGUUUAUUUCUGCUGAUCUAGAUAUGAAUCUAUUCAAUGAUGCCAGUCUUCUUGUCAGCCGUUGAGCCCCCUUCUUUGUGCUUGGUGGCUCCAUCCGAAGGAUAGUUUCGAUCUUGUUUGGGUUAGCUUCAAUCCCCUUCGUUGAAACUAGACAGCCAAGGAACUUACCAUUCUUCACUCCAAAAACACAUUUCUCUGGAUUUAAUUUCAGACCAGCUUGUCUGAAAUUAGCAAAUGUUUCCUGCAGAUCAGUAAUGUGAUUUUUUUGCUUCGUGCUUUUUACUAUGAUAUCAUCAACGUAUGUUAGCACAUUUCUGCCUAUCUGGGAAUGAAGGACCUUGGCUGUCAUUCUGCUGAAGCUUUCUCCAGCAUUCUUGAGCCCCUCAGGCAUCCGAAGAUAGCAAUAGGUGCCACUGGAAGUUAUGAAGCUAGUUUUCGGCUCAUCUUCCUUUAUCCAUAUCUGAUGAUAUCCAGAGUAGCAAUCCAGCAGACUCAUAAGCUCUGAAGAAGCUGCUGCAUCUACAAUAGAGUCUAUUCUUGGUAAUGGAAACUCGUCCUUUGGACAUGCCUUGUUAAGAUCUGUGAAGUCAAUACACAUUCUCCAUUUGCCAUUGGCCUUCUUCACCAUAACAGUAUUGGCUAGCCACUUUGGAUAUUUUACCUCUUUGAUGACAUCAGCACUGAGAAGCCUUUUUACUUCAUUCUGAGCACCUUCGGCUUUAUCAUCAGACAUUUUCCGAAGUCUUUGCUUUCUUAGCCUGAAGGAUGGAUCGGUCGUCUCUGUUGACACCACAGAGAUCAUUGGCCGAUCAAGCAAAAACGUCUUUGUUGUUGAAUGAAAACCUUAUCAAAGUUUUCUCCUGCUCUUCAGAUAGUUGAGACCCCAACAAUACCUUCUGCUAUGCUAUGUCUUCACAUAGAAGCAUGAGCUUCGGUUGAUCAGCCGAAGCAGCCUUCUCUCUUCUGUACUUGUACUGUUCAUAAGCCUCGACUCCAUCUAUAUUGUGGAUCACUUUUGAGUCUGUCCAAUUUCCUUCGGCCUUUCUGGCAGCUUCUUGAUUUCCAUGAAUAGCAAUGAGCCCUUGUUUCGAAGGUAUCUUCAUGCAUAGAUAUGCUAGGUGAAGUAUUGCUUCAAAAACAUUGAGUGUUCCUCUGCCAAUUAUUGCAUUGUAGGGGUAUUCCAUGUCAACAAUGUCAAACACAACCUGUUCAGUCCUUGUAUUGUGGACGAAGCCGAAGGUCACUGGCAUUGUGAUUUUGCCUAGUGCUACAAUUUGCCUUCCUCCGAAGCCACAAAGAGGGUGUGUAGCAUCAUGGAUCUUAUCUUCUGACUCUUGCAUCUUUCUGAAGGCCUUAGCAAAUAUGAUAUCCGCUGCACUGCCUGUAUCAACCAGAACAUUAUGAACCAGAAAUCCCUUGAUGACACAAGAUAUGACCAUAUCAUCAUUGUGAGGGUAAUCUUUGAGCUGAAGGUCCUCCUGGGAGAAAGUGAUUGGGAUGUGGGACCAUUUUGUCUUGAUGAAGGGUCCCUGCACCCCAACAUGCUGUACCCUUCUCUGAGACUGCUUCUUCUGCUUCUUGUUGGCCGGUUCUGAGCAUGAACCGCCUGUUAUUGGGAGCACCAGUUUCGUAGCCGAAGCAACUUUAGCUUGAUUGUUGAACGAAGCUAUCGGCUCAAAAGUGGAAGUGAGUUCACCGGAGGUGGGCGCCAAUGUUGGGGACUUAUUCUUAAAUGCUAUGAAUUAAGAACAAGGCAACAUAAAAUGUUAAAUGUUAAUGUCCUUCGUCCUUCGAAGCAUUAUUUCCCUUAGGACAUAACGGUCUUUGGACGAACGUUAUGAAGGACAUACCUUCAUAAACGUGGCAUGUAUAAACAGAGAAUGAAGCUUAUAAAAAAACAACAUAAAUAAUUAUAUGACAACGUAAUAUAAAUGUUUAUUAUUAAACAAUCACGAAUACAUGAAAACAAUAUCAAAUUACAGUUGUACCUUGAGCGCGACAGAAGGCAAGGGCAAAAGUAAGAUGUGAAAAAGCGUGAAAAGUACGGGGUACUGUUCAUCUAUUUAUAGGCACAAGACGCAGCCUGUGAGAAAUUACAUUCAUGCCCUUUACAAAUGGUUACAAUCAUAACACAGGUUGUCAUGGGCCGAUUGAUCAUUUCAUCUUAAAGUCGGUGCAUCUAGAGAUACGCUACGAAGCUCCCUGAUUGGUAGCUUCGGCAUUGUGUUUUUGGCAUUCCGAAGGUGUUUCUUCUCACAGGACCUUCGGCGACGAAGAAUACCCUGUGAGAAGAAACACUUUCGGAAGGCCAAAAACACAAUGCCGAAGCUACCAAUCAGGGAGCUUCGUAGCGUAUCUCCAGAUGCACCGACUUAAAGAUGAAAUGACCAAUCGACCUAUGACAACCUGUGUUAUGAUUGCAACCAUUUGUAAAGGGCAUGAAUGUAAUUUCUCACAGGCUACGUCCUGUGCCUAUAAAUAGAUGAACAGUAACCCCGUACUGUUCACGCUUUUUCACAUCUUACUUUUGCCCUUGCCUUCUGUCGCG
rnacentral:lncRNA from 1 species